GCAGCUCCAGGAGGGCUGGGACCCAGCCAGCCCUGAGCCCCUGGGGCUGCCCUGCCUGGGCAGGGACACAGGGAACGACAGCACGGGGCAGAGGGACAGCAAGGGACACUUCAUUGUGCUGCCAAAGAAGGAAACUUGAAAUAUAAAAUAGCUUACAUAAGGACUCCUGCAGCAAGAAUAUACCCACAGGUUAACACAGGAUGGAAGGAGUGUGGAAUUUCAUCUUAAAUGCCUAUAAGGCAAGGAAGAGCAAUUCCAUCAAAAAUGCAGAAUACGGGAUUUGUCCACUUAAAACCUCUUAAAAUAUAAUCAAGCUGUUGCAAUUAGAGCUAAGAACAAUAUGACAAGCUGUAAAGCUCAUCUUUCCUUAAGAGAGGACAAAAAGUGAGUGGAACUUGUCAUUAGUGAUGCUGGAAAAAAACAUCUCUAGACAGAAUUGGAUGGAAUAUUUCCACGAACUCUAUAAAAAAUCAUUUGUGUUUUCACACAGGAAGAAAUGUAGCUUGGAGUGCAGCAAAUCCAGUUUUACUUCUUAAACUGUUUCACAUUUGCUGCACUGAUUCAGCUGAAGUUCAGGCUGUUAGCACAAAGAGAAUGCUUUUUGGUGUUUCUUCUAUUGUAAAAGUUAGGCACACUGGAUUACAAAUCCUAUUUUCACUGUUUGUAGUUCUUUGCAGGGAUACUAAACCUUGCAAAUCAGCUCCAGUACAUGAAGGUUACCUACACUCAUGAUUCACAUCCUAUUUUUAGCUAUAAAAUAUAAGAAUAUAAAUUGCAAAUAUCAAAAGCAUCCAGUGGUGAUUUAGCUCUGCUGCCUUAAAAGUCAGUCUUCCUAUUCCCACUGGACAAAAAAAAAAGUUAGUUAAAUCCAUAGCAAUUGCAAAAAUCCACUCAAGUGUUAUAAAGAACAUGGUUACUCACUAGAUCAAAAGAGGUUUUUAAAGCAAUCCUUAGGAAGAAGGGGUCAGCUUAUUCUUUCAUGAAAAAACACUAGAAAAUACACACUGGUCCCUACUGCAGUGGAGAGAUACCAGGCUCAUGUGAAUAUUUCUACAUUCUGGGGAAAUGGGCCUUGUUUGACUAAAUUUAGCAGCUUUUUCCUAUGUGCUGCUCUUGUAAAUGAAAAUACAGUCCCUGUAGGCAGUCUCACAAUUUCCCUUUGUCCUAAACUUAAAGAUCUCCAUGCAAUUCCUAUUAAAGACCAAACACCAAUAUUCCCUAUUCAUAGUCCCUGAUCUCUGCUUGAUGAGUGAGGUUUUUUCUCCCUCUAGGAGACCAAACUAACACAACCCUACUGUAUAUGUAUGUAAGGGACAUGAUGGCCAAGUGCCAGGAAAUGCAUUAUCAUGAACAGCUUUUUUAAUUAUUGCCACUGGUGGUUUCAACUAGAAUUGAACUCCUUCUUCUGGAAUGUACCUGUACACAGACAAGGAAAGCUGUGCUUUGUACCAGUCAUCUUGGAUUCUCUCUCUUCCAGUUUCUAACUUGUAGAAUUAAUAUUUCAGACAGAGAAUUUCUCCAAUGGUAUUCACUUGAUUUACAUUAGUUAAGUAUCUUUCAGGCCUGUGUAACUACCAGAAAAAGCUCAAAAUCAAAAUUUAAAUUUUGCAGUAGUUAAAAGUUCCAGAGAUAUACAUUUUUUUGCUAUUACUCUGUUGGCUAAGGAAAAUCAGAAUCCACAAUCGAACAGCACAUGCUAUUCCACUCUAAAUGCUCCUAAAUUUUGUCUAAAGAACCCAAACCUCUGCUGACAGCAAUUGGGUUCCCUCUGCAGGCAGACAGCCCUGGCCAGCCGUGCUGCAUGCCCCACUACACAGCCCAGGCAGGGAUUAAACUGGAAAUCAAUCAUGAAACCUGUAUAAACUGGAAAUCAAUCACGAAACCUGUAUAAAGCACACUGCAAAAUCUCCAGGGUGAGAAAGUUUCCCUGGAGCACAAAGCCAUCCCUAUCCUCUGCUGGCUGCUGCAGCAGCAGAGCACAGCGUCACCUCCAGCCCCCCACACCUCCGGGCUCCUGAUCCUCCACUGACAGCAACAUCUCGGGAGAGAAUUUUCCACCAGGAGCUGGAAGGGAAUGACUGACCUCUGAGAAGUGCUGCAGGGCUUGACAAGGUGAUGACAUCCUGCAUCUUUAUUUUUAUUGCAUCAGCUGACUGCAAAGAUCAUGUCUCAAGCAUUUAAACUGACCAAAGUUCAAAGACAUGCAAAUGUCAAAAAUAAAAUGUGUUAAAGUGGAGCCAGCAAUGUCUCAGCAAAUAACUCAAUGGACUCUCCUGGAUGAACUGAAUAACUUUUUCAUUUAUAUAAAUUUUAGCUGUUAAUAAACAAUUUUGAAUUUA